GAGCCCCCUCACCAUGUGAUGUCCCAAGCUGCCUUGGGACUCUGCAGAGGGUCCCCAUAAGAGGAAGGCCCCGACUAGAUGGAAUCCUUUGUCCCUGGACUUCUCAGCCUCCAGAACUGAUUCCCCAGGAUCAACCAUCUGAGCAGAUACCUUGGAAUGUCCCCAGAUUUCAGAGCCUCGGACCAGCAGCAACACACUCUGAAGUAGGUCUCAGAAGACAAAAAGCUGAAAUCAACUCAUGCUUCCUGCUACACAGAAUCCACUGAGAGGAAAAGGAAACUUCACCGAAACUUCAGAAAGCUACAGAAAUGACAUCCAUUUUCACAAUCCCAGAAGGAAAGAUGCAUCUGAAGGGAAUAAAAACAGAGCAAUGGAAGAGUAUUUGUUAAAAUAAAUGGCUUUGACAGGGCAUUUUCUCUAAAGGUCUCCUUUGCCUCAAAUAGUACUCCUGCCUUCAGUCCAUCUUGCAUGCCACCCAGCUGUGGGCAUCCUGGCAGUUGCUGCCAUGUCCUUGCCUAAAAGCCUCCACCCCCAACCAACCCACC
rnacentral:lncRNA from 1 species